rnacentral:rRNA from 1 species
CCUACGGGUGGCUGCAGUGAGGAAUCUUGGUCAAUGGACGAGAGUCUGAACCAGCCAAGUAGCGUGAAGGAUGACUGCUCUAUGGGUUGUAAACUUCUUUUAUAUGGGAAUAAAAUGUUCCACGUGUGGGAUUUUGUCUGUACCAUAUGAAUAAGGAUCGGCUAACUCCGUGACAGCAGCCGCGGUAAUACGGAGGCUCCGAGCGUUAUCCGGAUUUAUUGGGAUUAAAGGGAGCGUAGGUGGAUUGUUAAGGCAGUUGUGAAAGUUUGCGGCUCAACCGUAACAUUGCAGUUGAAACUGGCAGUCUUGAGUACAGUAGAGGUGGGCGGAAGUCGUGGUGUAGCGGUGAAAUGCUUAGAUAUAACGAAGAACUCCGAUGGCGAAGGCAGCUCACUGGACUGCAACUGACACUGAGGCUCGAAAGUGUGGGGAUCAAACAGGAUUAGAUACCCCUGUAGUC